rnacentral:rRNA from 1 species
UUGGGAGCUCAUUGACUUCGGAGUCAUGGGAACUCCAAAGUUAAGCGAGUUGAGGCUAGAGCAAUCCUAGAAUGGGUGACCAACUGGGAAAUUGUUCGUGAACUCCCAGA